CAAGUACUCCCUCCAUCCGGAAUUACUUGCCAUCAAAAUGGAUGUGUCUAGAACUAAAAUACAUCUAGAUACAUCCAUUUCAAUGACAAGUAUUUUCGGACGGAGGGAGUACAAG
rnacentral:pre_miRNA from 1 species